rfam:Gossypium hirsutum cultivar TM-1 chromosome 22, whole genome shotgun sequence
UUGGUCAGCGCGCUUUGCUGACGUGCACACAAAUUGCGCUUUCUUGGACGCGCUUUGUUGCCACGUUAGCAAAGCGCGCUGACAUGG